rnacentral:rRNA from 1 species
UAGAGUUUGAUCCUGGCUCAGGAUGAACGCUAGUUACAGGCUUAACACAUGCAAGUCGAGGGGAAACGACAUUGAAGCUUGCUUCAAUGGGCGUCGACCGGCGCACGGGUGAGUAACGCGUAUCCAACCUGCCUCUGACUAAGGGAUAACCCGGCGAAAGUCGGACUAAUACCUUAUGAGGCUUUCAGCAGACAUCUAAUGAAAACGAAAGAUUUAUCGGUCAGUGAUGGGGAUGCGUCUGAUUAGCUUGUUGGCAGGGUAACGGCCCACCAAGGCAACGAUCAGUAGGGGUUCUGAGAGGAAGGUCCCCCACAUUGGAACUGAGACACGGUCCAAACUCCUACGGGAGGCAGCAGUGAGGAAUAUUGGUCAAUGGGCGAGAGCCUGAACCAGCCAAGUAGCGUGCAGGAUGACGGCCCUAUGGGUUGUAAACUGCUUUUAUGUGGGGAUAAAGUGAGCUACGUGUAGUUUAUUGCAGGUACCACAUGAAUAAGGACCGGCUAAUUCCGUGCCAGCAGCCGCGGUAAUACGGAAGGUCCAGGCGUUAUCCGGAUUUAUUGGGUUUAAAGGGAGCGUAGGCCGUGGAUUAAGCGUGUUGUGAAAUGUAGACGCUCAACGUCUGAAUUGCAGCGCGAACUGGUUCACUUGAGUAUGCACAACGUAGGCGGAAUUCGUCGUGUAGCGGUGAAAUGCUUAGAUAUGACGAAGAACUCCGAUUGCGAAGGCAGCUUACGGGAGCACAACUGACGCUGAAGCUCGAAGGUGCGGGUAUCAAACAGGAUUAGAUACCCUGGUAGUCCGCACAGUAAACGACCCAAAAGGGUUGUUAGUUCACUUUAAGAAUUAGCGACCAAGCGAAAGCAUUAAGCAUCCCACCUGGGGAGUACGCCGGCAACGGUGAAACUCAAAGGAAUUGACGGGGGCCCGCACAAGCGGAGGAACAUGUGGUUUAAUUCGAUGAUACGCGAGGAACCUUACCCGGGCUUGAAUUGCAGACGAACGAUUCAGAGAUGAUGAGGCCCUUCGGGGCGUCUGUGAAGGUGCUGCAUGGUUGUCGUCAGCUCGUGCCGUGAGGUGUCGGCUUAAGUGCCAUAACGAGCGCAACCCCUUUUUUCAGUUGCCAUCAGGUAAUGCUGGGCACUCUGGAGAUACUGCCACCGUAAGGUGUGAGGAAGGUGGGGAUGACGUCAAAUCAGCACGGCCCUUACGUCCGGGGCUACACACGUGUUACAAUGGCCGGUACAGAGCGUUGGUCGUGUGCAAAUACGAUCUAAUCCUUAAAGCCGGUCCCAGUUCGGACUGGGGUCUGCAACCCGACCCCACGAAGCUGGAUUCGCUAGUAAUCGCGCAUCAGCCAUGGCGCGGUGAAUACGUUCCCGGGCCUUGUACUCACCGCCCGUCA